rnacentral:rRNA from 1 species
GCCCAAUAUCGUUUGAACAAAGCCUCGCGAGUCAUUGUAGUAAUACAAGGCAGACGGCUCAGUAACGCGUAGUCUUUCUAACCUAUGGACGGGAAUAACCUCGGGAAACUGAGAUCCUGCCCGAUAGAACACUAUGCCUGGAAUGGUUUGUGUUCCAAAUGAUUUAUCGCCGUAGGAUGGGACUGCGGCCUAUCAGUUUGUUGGUGAGGUAAUGGCCCACCAAGACUAUUACAGGUACGGGCUCUGAGAGGAGUGGCCCGGAGAUGGGUACUGAGACACGGACCCAGGCCCUAUGGGGCGCAGCAGGCGAGAAAACUUUGCAAUGUGCGAAAGCACGACAAGGUUAAUCCGAGUGGUAUCUGCUAAAGGAACCUUUUGUCGGUCCUAGAAACACCGAUGAAUAAGGGGUGGGCAAGUUCUGGUGUCAGCCGCCGCGGUAAAACCAGCACCUCAAGUGGUCAGGAUGAUUAUUGGGCCUAAAGCAUCCGUAGCCUGCUUUGUUAGUUUUCGGUUAAAUCUGUACGCUCAACGUACAGGCUGCCGGGAAUACUGCAAAGCUAGGGAGUGGGAGAGGUAGACGGUACUCGGUAGGAAGGGGUAAAAUCCUUUGAUCUAUUGAUGACCACCUGUGGCGAAGGCGGUCUACCAAAACACGUCCCGACGGUGAGGGAUGAAAGCUGGGGGGAGCAAACCGGAUUCAGACACCCGGGUAGUCCCAACUCGUAACCAUGCAAACUCAGUGAUGCAUUGGCUUUGUGGCCAAUGCAGUGGUGCAAGGAAGCCGUUUAGUUUGCCGCCUGGGAAGUACGUCCGCCAGUCUGAAACCCAAAUGAAUUGACGGA